rnacentral:rRNA from 1 species
AUGCCUACGGGGGGCAGCAGUAGGGAAUCUUCCACAAUGGACGAAAGUCUGAUGGAGCAACGCCGCGUGAGUGAAGAAGGGUUUCGGCUCGUAAAGCUCUGUUGGUAGUGAAGAAAGAUAGAGGUAGUAACUGGCCUUUAUUUGACGGUAAUUACUUAGAAAGUCACGGCUAACUACGUGCCAGCAGCCGCGGUAAUACAUAGGUGGCAAGCGUUGUCCGGAUUUAUUGGGCGUAAAGGGAACGCAGGCGGUCUUUUAAGUCUGAUGUGAAAACCUUCGGCUUAA